UACCAAGGGGUUGAGUCAUACUAAGUGUGGUUAAAAGACAGUUAAACAUUGAGUAUAAGAAGGCCGUCUAAUGUAAUAUAUAGAGGUAAAAUUCAAGUAUAAUAUCAUGAGUCAGCGGCGGCUUUAGACUAGUUGAAUCUGUGAAAUCCUUGAGGGAAACUGGGAUUAGGUACCCCAUUAUUCUUGGGCGUAAAUAGAGAGAUUUUUACCAGAGUACUAUGAAUAUUGUAAUUUAAAACUCAAAGAACUUGGCGGUGUUUUAGACCAUUUAGGGGAACCUGUCUCGUAAUCGACAGUCCACGAUAUACCUGACCUUUUUUUGUUUUUCAGUUUGUAUACCGUUGUCGUCAGGUAACUUUUUAGAAAAUAGAAGUUGGCUUGAAAAAUAAGAUAAUUUAAUACGUCAAAUCAAGGUGCAGCUAAUAAAAAGGGGAGGAUGGGUUACAAUUAUGAAUUUAUAAUUACGAAUAAUCAUAUGUAAAUGUGAUUUGUGAAGGAGGACUUAAAAGUAAAUUAAAUUAUAAAAAUAAUUUGAAUGAGGCUCUGAAACGUGU
rnacentral:rRNA from 1 species